rnacentral:rRNA from 1 species
UACAGAGGUCUCAAGCGUUGCCCGGAAUCACUGGGCGUAAAGGGUGCGUAGGCGGGUCUUUAAGUCAGGGGUGAAAUCCUGGAGCUCAACUCCAGAACUGCCUUUGAUACUGAGGAUCUUGAGUUCGGGAGAGGUGAGUGGAACUGCGAGUGUAGAGGUGAAAUUCGUAGAUAUUCGCAAGAACACCAGUGGCGAAGGCGGCUCACUGGCCCGAUACUGACGCUGAGGCACGAAAGCGUGGGGAGCAAACAGG